GAUCGCAGUGACAACUCAUAAAUUCAAGCUCAACAGACCGGAAUGCAGGCUUCUCUCUCUAGAGAAAUUUGCAUGUCGAUAACCCGCUGAAUUGAGCGAUU